GCUCCACCCGGUGCACGACUUGCCCAUAAUAUCGACCAUUUCCCGGUCCUGUCAAUCCUGCAGAGCUGGUCGGGUUGCAGUAGCGUUAGAUUCCAGGACAAUCAAGUAACAAAGCUCACCUCGCGUGCGGCAUGGCCUGUGAACAAAGGGCGUCAACCAAUCCCCCUACCCGAUCACGAUGGAGUGCUAAUCAGCAGCAGCUGCAAAACCUAGAGAGUAUCUUCGAGCAGGGAAAUGGAAACACUCCCAACAAAGCUAGGAUUAAAGACAUAACCAUAGAACUUAACCAGUUUGGUCACAUCUCAGAAACAAAUGUGUACAACUGGUUUCAGAACCGUAAAGCACGAGCUAAGCGAAAGCUGCAGCAGCGGGUUGGCAGAACUCGCAGGCUGAGCUGCACCGCAACUGGAAGUACUUGUAAGAUGAGGAGCGGGGAAGCGGAGAUCAGUGGGGAUGUGCAGCCGUAUCUGCCGGACGCCAAAAGGUUGAAGGCGGUCGGGCCUCAGAGCCAGUCGGCGACCGGGUCAGCAGCCACGCCUGCGUCGGCGCUGGACGCAGGGAGCUCCAUCGCUGCGGCGGAGAUUGACACUGAGCUGCGGUCGCGGCCGGCAUUGAUGCCGCUGACGUCGAUUACGCCGCUGACGAUGCCGCUGACGGUGACGCGCGUCGAAGCGAUAGAAGAGACGCUAGGCGGCGGGGCAGAGCAUUGGCAUGAUCAAGAGGUUGAAGAUUAUAGUAUUUGGCAAGGAUUUCUGAACAACCAAUAUGUAUUAUUAUAAAAGAAAGAUUCAGCCCAGCCUACUCAUUUCUAAACUUUUUUGCAAAGACAAUGUAACAUUAAUUCAUCAAUCAUUUCAUUAAUUACAUCAAGCACAUCCAAGGCAAUCCGCACGUACACAUAAUGAAUAGUUCAUGAAAGUAGUCUAUUAAAGACAUACUGGAAGCAAAAGAAAUUAUUUGAUAAGAACUUUUAUGGGACAAAAAAUAUUUUUUUAAAAGAUUAGAAAAUUUGGUGAUGAUAUUUUUAAGAAUCAAAUUUUAUGUCUAUCUAUAAUCACUUGAAAAUUGUUUAUAGUUCUAUUGAAAUGUAAGUAGUUAAUAUAGCACAAUACAAUCAGCAUUCAAAUUUAUUUAACCUUGCACUUUCACAAGAUUUUCAGUUACAUAUGCAUUUAUUUAAUUGAAUUUAAAUAUUAAAGCUAGUUUAGUCAUAGCAAACCUGAUUUGCUGUACGUUUUCUUGCGCUUAAUGCAUAAAUAAUAAUUAUAUAUAUAUAUAUAUA